CUCCCCCCUUUUUUUUUAAAAAAAAAAGCAGAGAGUCUCUUUGCUCUCUCUUCCUCUCCCUUUCUACCUUGCGGGUAGGGUUUUAAAACCCAUCAUCGCCGCCGUUGUCACGGUGCCACCAUGGGCGGUAGUUGGGAGGUGCGAGCCGGGCUUUCUAGCCCCUGUUUAAGCCAUUCAAGGGCCACAAUCUUUUCAGCCCAAAAACAAGAGAAAGAGGUCCUUUUACCCCCUUUUUGGAAUCGACUGUCGGCGGUCCAAGUGUCAGAGGCGUGGAAGUCGGUGGUGGCGUGCAGGGAAGGCUCUGUGCGAGUUGGCCAAUGGUUGGCCUAGCAUGCGGCGGCUGGUGGCUUGAUAGCUAGGGUUGCUGCUGUUCUAUUUGUAAUGGGCUAGGGUUAGAAUUGGGCUUGGGUAGUUUGGGUUUGUAUUUGAUUUUAAAUGAGCCUUAUGUUGUUGGGCCAUACAUAUGUUGUAAAUGGACUUAAAGAACAAUUAGACUUUCAUUAUUCA